rnacentral:tRNA from 1 species
GCCUGGAUGGCUCAGUCAGUUAAGUAUCUGACUUCAGCUCAGGUCAUGAUCCUACGGUUCAUGGGUUCGAGCCCCGUGUCAGGCU